AGUGAGGUAAGUGGUAUAAGUUGUGCUUCUAUAAACAUAAUUGACAAAGCUUGAAACCUGACUACAUGUAACUUUUCAUAAAGGGGAUAUAUCAUACAAAUGAAUAUUUAAUUAACUUGGGUACGUAGUUUGUAUCUCAAUAUCGAAGAAGGAGAAGUAGUUAAUAGUGCAUAAAUUCAAGGGUGCUACUAGACCAUGCUUGGGAAUGAAUAGAACUGAAAUUGAAAUCAUUGCAAAUCUAGCUUUCCAAAUCAAAGUCUCUAAAAAACAAAAAAAAAAAAAAAAGUGAGAAAUUGAGAAGCUACACCAAUGGAAAGAAUUGACCGGAAAAUUGUUAUGAUGCCAAAAAAGAAAAAAAAAUUUGGUAAUCAUUAGCACAAUCAUGCAUGAGAUCACUUAAUUAGUGAUAAUUAUGGAUGAGAUAACCUUAAAUUAUACUUAGGGUAUGUUUGGUUUCCCAUGGAAUUGAGAUUUAGAAUUGGAAUUGGGGCCCCAAUUCCAAAUCUGUUGUUUGGAUAUUGCUUCGGUCAAAGAAUUAGAAUUGAAUCUGAAUUCUAUAGGGUCCAAUUCCAUGAUUUGAAUUCUUUAUUGGACCAAAAGAAUUCUAAUUCCAAUUCCACAACUAAACCCUGCGAAACGGGUCUACACGCGGAUCUUGUGGGUAAAAAAUUAAAAUCGGGUCAACUAGGUAAGCAGCUUCAGCCUCUGCUUCACUGACUCUUCUUCUUCCUCCUUCGGAUUCCUCAAAACCCAUUUCCCUUUUCCCCACUCCAACCCAUCGAUGGAUUUCCAACGGCUUUUUCAAAAUUGUCACCUGCGCUGCUCCGAAGCAUGGCAUUCACUCCACUGAAGCAAUUGAAACUACUAUCGGAAAUCAUCUAAUUCCUGCAUCUUCGGACAGCUAUUGCUGCUAGAGAAAAAGGGAUUGACAAAAGGGGCUCUACUGAAGAAUUUUGGAUAUUGACAUGGAUAAAGAAGGAGGCGAGCAAAAAGCAAAAAGAGAAAAGUGGUAGUUGCAAAUUAUAUGGUAACAAUAGCUACAUUAGUAGUUUGGUGGCAUGAGAAACAUAUAGUAAAGGAGCCUUACUUGGACUUUAAAGUAGCACGUGAAAUAUAUCUAAGGCGUCUUUACUAUGGAAACAAUAGAGUUUGUGUAGAGCAACUUAGACUCAAUAAACAUUGUUUUACUGUUUUAUGUACA